AUGCACGCUAGCGAUAGGCUUAACACAUGCAAGUCGAGGGGCAGCACAAGGUAGCUUGCUCUCUGGGUGGCGACCGGCGCACGGGUGCGUAACGCGUAUGCAACUUGCCCUAUACAGGAGGAUAACCCGUCGAAAGACGGACUAAUACUGCGUAUGCUCACAACUUGGCAUCAAGUGGUGAGGAAAGAAAUUCGGUAUAGGAUAGGCAUGCGUCCCAUUAGCUUGUUGGUGAGGUAACGGCUCACCAAGGCAACGAUGGGUAGGGGAACUGAGAGGUUUAUCCCCCACACUGGUACUGAGACACGGACCAGACUCCUACGGGAGGCAGCAGUGAGGAAUAUUGGUCAAUGGGCGCGAGCCUGAACCAGCCAAGUCGCGUGAAGGAUGACUGUCUUAUGGAUUGUAAACUUCUUUUAUACGGGAAUAACAAGAGUCACGUGUGACUCCCUGCAUGUACCGUAUGAAUAAGCAUCGGCUAACUCCGUG
rnacentral:rRNA from 1 species